UGCUUCUUUUAUUAGUUGUUUUUAAAAAUAUCUAUUGCUACUGCUUUGAAAACAAUGAAAAAUCAUAAUGUUAUUUUACUUGUUUCAUUUCUUAGUUGUUAUUAUUGCUCUUUAUUACAUUUAUUUCAAAACCUUGCAUUGUAAUAUUGAAAGUCAUUAAUUAACUAUUUAAAUAUAUAAUGCUAAUUUCUUUGAAACUUAUGUUUACAGUGUCACGCCCUAAAUCCGGGAUAUAACAUGCCAUGCUACCAUGGGGUACUGCCCAUAAUAACACGAAUCCAACA
rnacentral:lncRNA from 1 species